rnacentral:tRNA from 1 species
GCCCGGCUAGUUCAAUCGGUAAAGCGUGAGACUUAAAAGAAUCCCUUCCAAAAAGAGUUCUGGAGGAUGAAGAAUUGCUUCCGACAUCUCAAGGUGGUGGGAUCGACCCCCACGUCGGGCU